rnacentral:lncRNA from 1 species
CCAAAGGAGUAAUAGCGCACAAUAAUGCAGUCUCGAAGGAGGGUGUUGGUCGAAUUGAUUCAGCUGCACAUCAUGCUUUGGUAAAAGAUGGUUGGAGACAGAAUGGGGACACUAAGGCCCCCCAAUUUCAUCAAUGGAAGGAGGUUCGUGACAAUAGGACUCUAAACAAAGGAAAACAAACCGAAGUCUCAGUUUCACAAAGCAAGGAAAUUCUUGGUAACAAUCUCAAGUUCAAUAAUCAAAUCCAUACUACCAACAAUUUGAAAUUGCUACAAAAGGAAAAUGAAGAGGAAAAUGUAAGAAAAAAACUGCAGUCAUAGAGGAAUACUCGGUUCAAACAUCCGACAGCAACAAGGAGAUUCAGCACACCGAUGUGGAAAAUGAGAUAAAGGAGCAGGAAGUAUCAACUUCCCAAGUAGCACAAAAGAAUACAUCUCCAAGUUCGUCCAAAAGACAGUCAGCCAACAAUAAACAAAAAAUCCAGUUGAUAUACAACAAGGGAUGGGGAAACAUCAGCAUAUCAACGAUCUUUCAACUAAACAAUGGGCUCAGGAAGUUUUUAAAAAUAAUGCAAUUCAGGUCAAUAUCCCCAAUAAUGAGCAACAACUAGCAAACAAAAAAGAAAAUGAAAUGGUAGAAGAUGAAGACUUUGACAAAUUCGGGGCCAUUGAAAAAGAAAAAAGGGAAACAAAACAGUUAUGGCUCAACCAAACCGAGGAAGUCUUACAAGAUGGUCAAAUUCCAGAUUUGAUGCAUAGUGAGGAUGAAAUAGCAGAAAAAAACUUGGAAAGAAGGAUGAAAGAGCU